UACCUCGCUUGCUUGGGUUCCCA
rnacentral:siRNA from 1 species